rnacentral:rRNA from 1 species
AUAAUUUGAAAUUAAUUUAUUAUUAAAUUUUAUAGGUUUAAUUUGGUUAAAAUAAAUAUAUUUAUUUUUAGUAAAUUUAAGUUAAAAAAAUAUUUUUAUUAUAGUUUAUUAGUAUCGAUAGAGAAAUUUUUUAAUUUUUAUAAAGAAAAAUUUAUUUUUUGUACCUUGUGUAUCAGGGCUAAUUAAAUAAAAUUUAAUUAUUUUAAAUUUCUCGAAUUUAAAAGAUUUAUAUUUAUAUAUUUGUUAUUGUUGAAUAAAUAAAUUUAAUAUAAAUAUGGAAAUGAAAUGUUUAUCGUUUUUAAAUAUAUCUAGUUUUUUAAGAAAAAAAUUUAAUUUUAUUUUUAAUUUAUUAUAAAAUUUUUGAGUUUAAUUUUAUAAUAUUAAAAUUUUAUAAUUUAAGGGAUGAGCUUUAAAUUAGAAUGAAUAUAAGAUUUAUAUUUAAAAAUUAAUUUAUAGGAUUAUAAGUUUCUAUUUUUAGUGUGUUUUAACUAAUUAAUUUUUUAGUUUUGAUUUAUAAAUAAUUUAUUUAUUUUAUUAAAAUAAAGUUUUAAAUUUUUUAGGAUUUGUAAUAAUGAUUGGAUUAGUAUAAAAUAACUUAAUUUGUUAAUUAAAUUCAAGGUAUAGUAAAGGAAUUCGGCAAAUUAAUUUUUCACCUGUUUAGUAAAAACAUGGCCUUUUGAUUAUAAUUUAAGGUCGAGCCUGCCCUAUGAAAUUUAAAUGGCUGCGGUAAUUUGACCGUGCAAAGGUAGCAUAAUCAUUAGUUUUUUAAUUGAAAGCUGGUAUGAAUGGUUUGAUGAAAAAAUAGCUGUCUCUAUUAUAAUUUUAUAGAAUUUUAUUUUUAAGUAAAAAAGCUUAAAUAAGUAUUGAAGACGAGAAGACCCUAUAGAGUUUGAUAUUAAAAUUAAUUAGAGUUUUUAGUAUUUUAAAAUUUGAUUUUUGAUAAUAUUUAAUUGGGGUGAUUAAAAAAUUUAAUAAACUUUUUUUUUAUGUAAACAUUGAUUUAUGAAUAAAUGAUCCCUUUUUAGGAUUAAAAGAUUAAAUUACCUUAGGGAUAACAGCGUAAUUUUUUUUAAGAGUUCAUAUCUAAAAAAAAGUUUGCGACCUCGAUGUUGGAUUAAAAUUUAUUUUUGGUGUAGAAGCUAAAAUAUUUAGGUCUGUUCGACCUUUAAAAUUUUACAUGAUCUGAGUUUAAACCGGUGUGAGCCAGGUUGGUUUCUAUCUCGAUAAAGUUUAUAGAUUUUAGUACGAAAGGACCAAAUUUGUAAUUAAAAAUUUUUUUUUAGAAUAUUAU